rnacentral:rRNA from 1 species
AACGAACGCUGGCGGCAUGCCUAACACAUGCAAGUCGAACGAAGCCUUCGGGCUUAGUGGCGCACGGGUGCGUAACGCGUGGGAAUCUGCCCUUGGGUUCGGAAUAACAGUUAGAAAUGACUGCUAAUACCGGAUGAUGACGAAAGUCCAAAGAUUUAUCGCCCAAGGAUGAGCCCGCGUAAGAUUAGCUUGUUGGUGGGGUAAUGGCCUACCAAGGCGACGAUCUUUAGCUGGUCUGAGAGGAUGAUCAGCCACACUGGGACUGAGACACGGCCCAGACUCCUACGGGAGGCAGCAGUGGGGAAUAUUGGACAAUGGGCGAAAGCCUGAUCCAGCAAUGCCGCGUGAGUGAUGAAGGCCUUAGGGUUGUAAAGCUCUUUUACCAGGGAUGAUAAUGACAGUACCUGGAGAAUAAGCUCCGGCUAACUCCGUG